ensembl:snRNA U6 U6 spliceosomal RNA
GUGCUGUCUUGGGCAGCACAAAUACUAAAAUUGAGACAAUACAGAGAUUAACCUGGCCCCUGUGCAAGGAUGACAUGCAAAUUCGUGAAGCGUUCCGCAUUUUU